rnacentral:rRNA from 1 species
AUUGAACGCUGGCGGCAGGCCUAACACAUGCAAGUCGGGCGAGCGGCGGACGGGUGAGUAAUGUAUGUGGAUCUGCCUGAUGGAGGGGGAUAACUACUGGAAACGGUAGCUACUACCGCCUACCAUCCGAUGACACCAUAUGGGAUUAGCUAGUGGGUGAGUUAACGGCUCACCUAGGCGACGCUCCCUAGCUGGUCUGAGAGGAUGAUCAGCCACACUGGGACUGAGACACGGCCCAGACUCCUACGGGAGGCAUCAGUGGGGAAUAUUGGACAAUGGGCGAAAGUCUGAUGCAGCCAUGCCGCGUGAAUGAAGAAGGUUUUCGGAUCGUAAAGUACUGUUAUUAGGGAAGCGUUAUCUAAAGAAGAAGCACCGGCUAACUACGUGCCAGCAGCCGCGGUAAUAC